rnacentral:lncRNA from 1 species
AUGCUGCAAGUUUCUGAAAUCAAGAUCUGUGUUUUGUUUUUAGGGCAGAGAAGUUGUUGAUGGGUGGUUGACUACUGAACUGAGGGAUAUUGGGAAGGGCUCGAAUGGGUGUGGUAUUGAAAAAAACCAGAGACAUGGAGAAGGUUUGUUGAGGAAGAUGAUGAACAAGGUGCAGAAAAAAAAGGGGCUGGAGAUAUACUACGCAUGCAAUGUAAAAGGGCUGCAUACAGCUCACAAAGUGGAAAAGGGCUACGCAUGCAAUG